rnacentral:tRNA from 1 species
GGUUGCGCAGUGGUUAGGCGUUUGGCUGCUAACCAAAAGGCUGGCAGUUCGAAUCUACCAACUG